UAUAGCAGCCAUAUCACCCUGCAGCCCAAAGACUGGUUGCCCACUGAAGCUAAGCAGGGUUGAGCCUGGUCAGGCUGGUCAGUGCCUGGAUGGGAGACCUCCUGGGAAAACUAGGUUGCUGCUGGAA
rnacentral:rRNA from 1 species